rnacentral:rRNA from 1 species
GAGUUUGAUCGUGGCUCAGAUUGAACGCUGGCGGCAGGCCUAACACAUGCAAGUCGAGCGGUAGAGAGAAGCUUGCUUCUCUUGAGAGCGGCGGACGGGUGAGUAAUGCCUAGGAAUCUGCCUGGUAGUGGGGGAUAACGCUCGGAAACGGACGCUAAUACCGCAUACGUCCUACGGGAGAAAGCAGGGGACCUUCGGGCCUUGCGCUAUCAGAUGAGCCUAGGUCGGAUUAGCUAGUUGGUGAGGUAAUGGCUCACCAAGGCGACGAUCCGGUAACUGGUCUGAGAGGAUGAUCAGUCACACUGGAACUGAGACACGGUCCAGACUCCUACGGGAGGCAGCAGUGGGGAAUAUUGGACAAUGGGCGAAAGCCUGAUCCAGCCAUGCCGCGUGUGUGAAGAAGGUCUUUCGGAUUGUAAAGCACUUUAAAGUUGGGAGGAAGGGCAGUAAAUUAAUACUUUGCUGUUUUGACGUUACCGACAGAAUAAGCACCGGCUAACUCUGU